rnacentral:rRNA from 1 species
CCCUUAGAUGUUCUGGGCCGCACGCGUGCUACACUGAGUGGAUCAGCGGGUCAGGUUGCGCGAAAGUGUUUCCUAAUCUUUAAAUCCGCUCGUGAUGGGGAUUGACGGUUGCAAUUUUCCGUCAUGAACGAGGAAUAACUUGUAAGCGCGGGUCAUCAUCCCGCGCUGAAUACGUCCCUGCCCUUUGUACACACCGCCCGUCGCUCCUACCGAUUGAGUGGUCCGGUGAGGCUUUGGGAUCUGAGCGGAAAGAGCGUUUCGCUGUUUCUGCCCGGAAAACUCAGUCGAACCUUAUCAUUUAGAGGAAGGAGAAGUCGUAACA